rnacentral:rRNA from 1 species
ACGAACGCUGGCGGCAUGCCUAAAACAUGCAAGUCGAACGCUCUAGCAAUAGAGAGUGGCGCACGGGUGAGUAACAUGUGGGAAUAUGCCUUUUGGUACGGAACAACUUUUGGAAACGAAAGCUAAUACCGUAUGGUCCCUUCGGGGUAAAGAUUUAUCGCCAAAAGAGUAGCCCGCACUGGAUUAGCUAGUUGGUAAGGUAAUGGCUUACCAAGGCGACGAUCCAUAGCUGGUCUGAGAGGACGAUCAGCCACACUGGGACUGAGACACGGCCCAGACUCCUACGGGAGGCAGCAGUUAGGAAUCUUGGACAAUGGGCGCAAGCCUGAUCCAGCCAUGCCGCGUGAGUGAUGAAGGCCUUCGGGUUGUAAAGCUCUUUAGCCGACGAAUAUAAUGACUGUAGUCGGAGAAUAAGCCCCGGCUAACUUCGU